rnacentral:rRNA from 1 species
UACGUAGGGUGCAAGCGUAAUCGGAAUUACUGGGCGUAAAGCGUGCGCAGGCGGUUGUGCAAGACAGAUGUGAAAUCCCCGGGCUCAACCUGGGAAUUGCAUUUGUGACUGCACGGCUAGAGUGUGUCAGAGAGGGGUAGAAUUCCACGUGUAGCAGUGAAAUGCGUAGAGAUGUGGAGGAAUACCGAUGGCGAAGGCAGCCCCC